ensembl:lncRNA
GCAUGACGCGUCUCAGGAACUGCAAUGAGGUGUCCCGCGGUUGAGCCCUUUCUCCUUGUUUGCAGUCAAACACGCUGGACAACAUUGCAUACAUCAUGCCCGGACUGUGACCUCCAAGAAGCCUGGGACAGAAGACUGUCUACCCCUUCGUUUAUGUAUAUAUGACUGUUCCAGAUCUUCCACUGACCUCUGGGUGUAGGUUUUAAAUUUUUAUAUCUAUAUAUACAUAUAUAAUGUAUAGUAUAUACAUAGGAUUAUAACUACUUUGCUUUUAAUAAUUUUAUGAAAUGGCAAAGGUUUAGCUAAAAGGAAACUUUGGCAUGAAUGUGGGCUUGGAAUUAUUUUUUUGUGAAAAAAAAAUCUGCCUUAAAAAAAUCAGUGUAAUUUGGGGACUAGGGGCUUAUUCUGGGUGCCAUAUGUAUCUCCUUGUAAAAUGCUAAAAUGUGAUUUUUUUUCCAAGCUUGGGUUUGCCUGCAGACCCAUCGCUGACCAUUUGCCUUACCUGUCUUAGAAUCAGAAGUGUAGUGAAGAUCAUGGGAGGAGGCCAGCUGACUACAGACUUUCCAACAUGGGAUAAUCUGGGGGAGGUGGAGCUUAGGUGGACUGAGUAGGGGACUCAUUCCCGUUCCUGCUAAAGAGGUAUCUGUGUCUCCAGUUUUAUUGUACCCACAGUACCACAGAGUCGUGGGCACCAUCUAUAGCCUCAGUGUGUGAUUCUUGGCCACAGAAAAAUAAAUACCUUGGAGAAACCAAAGCUGUUGGUGCCACCUGUUGAACCUGCUUGUCUGGCCAGCAAGGCUUGGUGUACAAAACACAAAGCUGCCGUCUUUCACUGGCGGCAUUGGGUGCCCACCAACUCCCGAGAGAUUCUGCAGCUUAGCUGCCUGGUGGCUCUUGGUUCAGCUCUGGUUCCCCUGGUGGGUACUUUGUGCUCUGCAUUCCACACGGAGCUGGACCACAGAGAAGUCCUUGGUUCUCAGUAGGGUUAUCUAUAUGUGUGUUUGAGUGUAUAUUUUAAUUAUGUGUAUUUAACUCUUUAGAAUUUCUUAGAUUUUAAUUUAUCCUGUAAAUUUCUGUACAUAUAAUUUAAAAACAAGCCUCCAGCAGCAGGAACAUGUGGAGCAUACAGAUUUGUCAUUUCUUAAUGUCUGUCUAAAAGCCUCAAGUCGUCCAUAUGUUUAGGUGUUGUGACUCAGAAAGGAACUUCAUGGCCCUCAAUAAUGUUAGGAAAGUGAAAUAGAAAGGAAUGGCACCAUUCUAACUGCCCUUAUUCCCAAAGAACCAGGCCUGCUUCCCAUCAGAGAGAAGAUAUCUCAACACUCCAGGGUUGUUUGGAAAUGUGGUGAGUUAGCCAAGCUUUCUUCCUCUGGCCUGGAAGAACAUGGCAGCAUCACUGUAAACCUCUGGGGACCAUGUAGCCAGCUGGCAUCCUAGGUAACACCUUCCCAUAGCCCGACUGCUGUCACGGCCGAGCUUCUCACAGGAGUUCUGGAGGCUCUGUCCCCAUCUCAGCUCAGAGCAGUGCUGAGAUGUAAUCUGAGAAAUGGAGACAGGAACAGGAAUAUGUGGGAACUGAAAUCAAGCAAAGCAGAAAUUUAAAUUUGAGUUAACAUGUCAGAACCUCCUUUGAACCUGCAGAAGUUUGCUGUGAGGAACGGCACCCAGGAGAGGCCAAGGAAGGCAUGUAUCGUUUAGGAAGCAGCCAGUCCUCCAUUGCCCUUGCUACAGACAGUUGUGAACUCCUGAGGAGAACGGGCUUUUUCGUGUUUGUUUUCCUCUGAAGCCUAGCCCUGUUGUAUUUGUAUUAAAGAUUUGUACACAUUUGUAUAAUAAUCUGUACCUUGUGGUAUUUGGUACUAUUAGAGGAAAAACUUUGGAUUCAGGCCUUCUUGCUGUUUUUAUAUCAUUGUUUUAUUUUGUUUUUUAAAUAAAUCCUAGUGGUUUGAUCCAAAUCCUAUUACAGUUGUAUAAAGAAACAAAAUUUUGUACUUAUAUUAAAGAUCUCAUUUUUAAUAUUUAUA